AUUUCGCUCAUAGUUAUAUAGAAGUGCUCACUUGUCCGUCCAUCCUUCCGAAAGACACCUUUUCUAAAAUUUGUUUGACAGAAAGCCUGCGGACUUAGUAGGAUUACUGGCUGUCAUAUAUGUGAUUAUACCGUCAUUUUUAAAUGACUAUGUGAGGUGGUGGUAUGGGUGUCUGAGUAUUUGUUUAGAAUCUUAACAAUAACGCUUUGUGACCGC
rnacentral:lncRNA from 1 species